AUCAUUGAAAGGUGUCCCAGAUCUGAAGGAUAAAAAGCCCCGACUUAUUAUAUGUGUGUGUUCUUGAAGAAUUAGCAUUUAACCUUGGCGGUACACCAAACAAAUAUAUUCCUUUAUUGGAGGAAUUUCUUUAAAAUUCCCUUUAAGAUGGCAUUUUAUUGUUUGAACACUCUUCUGAUUUUGCUGAAGCAAUGGCAGUUUCUUAUGAUAUUGUACCCAAUGGAUUUUGAUGUAUGGUUGCAUGUAUCUUCUUUCACACCCUGCAUAUGGUGUCAUUUGCUGUGAUAUUGUUGGCUUAGAGAAACUAAGCAUUGGGAUGGUUCCUCCAUGUGGGUGCUUUGCACAUGACCUUUUCCAUGUGUCGAUGUUUGCUUGCCUUGAAAUUGCCCCUCCAUGACCUUUUGUAUGAAUUCCUAGGUGAGAAUUUGGGGUAGAAAUAUUGCUUCUUCUGCUAAAGACUUGGUUACAAAUCCUUUCUUAAAAAGCUAGGCAGUUCAUAUGAACUUAGAAUCUUUUUAUGAAAGAAUUUUUAUUUUGUUUUUAGUUGAAGUCAUCAACCUGAUCUUUUUAAUUGGUUUGAUUAUCAGAAUCCCCUCAAAUGGAGUUCAAAAUAGCAACAUAUUAAGGGGAAAGGAAGUGUGUUUUGUGCUGGUGGUGAUGUUCUAAAUAUGACCCAUUUCGUAAUCACCAGUAGAUGUCACUUUUCUAGCCUGGGACGAAUCCUUUAAUGACAAGAUAUAAUACAUUGCAAUAGAUUUUUUAUUUUUUAUUUUGGUGAUAUUAAGUUAAUGUACCGAACGUUUUAUGAAACUCAGUUUUGGAUCUUUGUUUGA